AAAAAAUUCAAAAUGAAACACAGUGAGUUAUAUUGCUAUUAUCAAAGAUAAAAGAUGAUCACUUCUGCUGAGGGUUUAGGAAUAUUGAUCAUCUCAGACUCUGAUGGUGCAAUGCAAUUUGGGACAAGCAUUCUGGAGAGUGAUUCAUGAUAGCAUAUGUCAAAAUCCUUAAAAAUAUGCAUGUCCUUUUAUCCAGUCAUUUCAUUGCUAAAAAGUUAGUUUUCCUGGAGGUGUGCUUUCAAAUAUAAAAAUUCAUGCAGCUUUGUUUAUCAUAGCAUUUUUCAAAAAUGGAAAACAAUCUUAACUGUUGACCAAAGAGAGAACUGAGUGAAUAACUUCAUAUAUUCCUAACAAACAAUAAUAUGAAACUAUUAAGAGUUAUUUUGUUGUAAAAACUUGACUGUUAUUUAAAGGUCUAUGACAGAUACUGAACAAACUGAAAGUACAGCAGAAUGAUUUAGCAGACUCUGGAGUACAAGUGUCCAGGCUUGGUUCAUAGCACCUGCCUUUUAUUCCCUGUGUAGUCCUGGGCAAAUUAUUUACCUUUUCUGAUUCUUAGUUUACUUCUCUGUAAAAUAGAGCUAAUAGUAGCUAUCUCAUCAAAUUGUUCUAAGGUUUACAUUAAUUCAUAAAUAUAAAGGAAUAGUGCCUGGCGUGAGUUAUAUGCUUAAAAAAAAGUUAGCUGUCAAUAAUAAGUACUUCAGACUUAAUUUCAAACAUUACUUUUAUCAUAAUGCUCUUCCAUAUCGAGGACAUCAAGUAGCUUCUGAAUGUGUCGAGAUCAAGCCCAGGCAUUUUCACUUAGCAGAAAACCAUCCAUAUCUUAAAAAAUAAACAGAAAAUUCCUUGAAUAUGGACAUAUCCAGAUGCUUCUCCUUCUUCUGGACACUCCUGCUAGACGUGGCUUCUUCACUGCCUCUCCCGUCUCUGAGACCCUUCUCAGAUCUCAGCCUCAAUGCUGUUUCUUUCACUAGAGUACCGUGGCCAUUCCUCUGUUGAUCUAAAAUACACCUGGCCUUCCACACUCACAUGCUUACUGUACAAAUCUUUCUCUCCUUUCUCCAGUGCAUGGAAAUGGAAAAAAAAAUUGAUAUGUCAGGAUAUAUCAUAUUCUCUGGCCUUUCUUUACCAUAUACUUCCCUAGAUACAGGACUAUCUGACUUUCCUAGACGAAAGUCCCCAAGGGUAGGCUCAAGGUCCCUUCUCACAUGAAGCCUAUUAACAACUAAUUUAGAUGCUAAAUACACAAAUUUAGUCAUGCAUUUACAAUCUAACUUUAAAGCACAUCACUCUGUAAACGUAUAAUCUGGCCUAUAGGGCUAUGGCCUCUUUGGUCCAAUCUGCAGGAGUACUAGUUCCUCAUGAGGUCAUCUCAGAAGUCUUCCCGACUGAUUUUGAUACAAAUGAAGAGCCCAGCCUCACACAAUAGCAGAAAUCAACUGGCAAAUUAUUAAAUAAGAUGCCUUCCUGAGAUUUAUGUCACACCAUUCCUGUAUCUACAGAAUCCUUCAUGUAGAAAUACAGAUUUCUUCAUGUAUUUUAGUACUGUACUUUCAUGCUUAUAUAAAAACCAAGUUGGAGAACAUUUCAGAAGGAGACAUGUGCAGUGUGCAUUAGGUCCUAACUUGUCUGAAGACUUAGACAGUCAGGGAAUGGCCCCAGCUUAAUCAAAACAAGUUUUCUCAUCUCUCUCAAAUAAUUUGAUGUACUUGGGUGGUUGCAGGGACCCCAAGGACUUCAAUGUCUAGCAAAAUCUGAUCAACUCUCCAAAAAGAGUCCUUCAGUACCUCUCAGACUAACUGCAAAUAACUUCCCAUUUAUCCAAACCAGGUGACAAUGUCAAAUCACAUUAUGUUCAUGUGGAAAGUAAUUGAAAGGCAACUCUUUAGUUCUGAAUUCAGAAGUUGGUCAAAAGUCUAACAUUUUCAAAAGCUGUAUCAUUUUGAGAAAGUGAAGAAAAUUGCAUUUUCUAUCUUUCCAAAGAAUCUAACUAUCUUUUAUUGUAUUUUUAAGGUAGCUUGGCUGCUGCUGUGAUGUUGAAGGAACAAAUCAAGGACACAAGGUUGAGAGAUACAAUGUGGCAGAUUUCAAACAGGAGAGCUGCUGAGUACUUUACUAUCUUUUUUUUUUAUUUUCAAAAUAAGAAUUGAAAUAAUAGAAAUAUGUCAAUGGUAAAUACAACUAAAAAAAAAAGAAACUGGGUGAUGUAAAGCAGUAUUCACAUUGUGAACAAUGGUCAGGGAACUAUUCUUGCAUUCAUCCUUCCAUCCAUCUACCAGUUCAUUUUUUUUUGAAAAAUGUUUUAUUGAGCAACACUUGUGCCAGGUUCUGUUGUAGGUGCUGAGGAAGCAGCAUGAACAAGGCAGACACAGUCUCUGACCUCACAGAGCUUACAGUCUAACAAAGGAAGAGUGUAAUUUUAUGCUCUUGUUAAUUCAUCAGAAAUUGAUGACAAAGAUCAGAUGUUACUAGAAUAGGAAUGUCUGGGAGAAAGGCAAAAUUGUUGUCUUCUCUUAAGACACUUUUACUUUUCUACUCCUGCACUUGUUCUACCUCCCAUAGACCAAUGCGUUCCACCUCCACGGACCAAACACUGGAUUCACUUCAGUACUAAGCACCCAGUCGAGUUGCCUGCCUUGUAAACAGGAAGCUCCUACAUCCAUGUAAAAGCAUCUCACUAUUUUGUCUGCUGUAUUUACUGUAGUAGACAUUCAGUAUACAUGUGUUUUAAUGCAAAAUCACUCACAUAUUCCAAAAGUCCUUGAACUAUGACCCCAUUUCCAGAGUCUUUUUUCCAGCAUUUACCCUGCCUUACCCCCAUGUAAUACUUUAUUACUCCCCCUAAGGUUCUGUAACACAGCAAGUUAACUACCUUGGUUUCCUGCUAAUUGUUUGACUACUUUUUCUCUGGUGUACUUGAUGAUCUUGUUCAAUUAAUUUCAGUCCAAUGCAAUUCAAUUCAGUUUCAUUAAUUUCUGAGCAAUUACUAGGUACUGAAUACAUGACUACUUCUCUAUAGAAUAUUCCAAAAUCCAGCCCUCAGCUAUCUGAUAGAUCUAAUUCCAAAAUGUCUAUUGGACAUCAUCUCCUGGGUAACUGUAAUCUCCUCAUUCUCAACAUAUCCAAAACUAAACUUAUCAUUUUACUCUAAAAUAAGAGUAUACUUACUUCUCCGAUUAACAUAAUAUAAGUAAUAUGAGUAUUACUUAAGUCAGCAAUAUAUAAAUCUUAGUGUUGUAUUUAACUACUUCUUCAACAAUUCCCCUAAAUGAAGCUUGAUUUUAUUCUGCAUACAACUCACCUCAAUCAAAAAAUUCUCUUAAUAUGCCUUAUUACUUUUAUAAUCUCUUCCAAUCCAAACAUACUAGAUUACAAAGAUGUGUCAGCUUUAAUGACACUUAACUCCUACAGAAUCAUGUCUACUUCCAUCAGUUUGGGGUAUAAUAGCUUGGGGUGCAGUGUCUUCACUCUAACUGCCUUAUUUGCCACUUUUGAUCCACAUAUGUUCCAGGGAAAAUAGACGUAUCCCAAAUGGUAUGUGAUUUCUUGAUUCUGAAUUGUUUUCCAACUUCUCUCUCACCUUUUAGUAUUCCUACCCCUGUCAUUCUGAGUGUUAAAAUUCUUUCCACUUUUUAAGCCCUAGUUUAAGUCACACCUUCUUGAUGAUUUAAGCUACGAUGAUAAAUUUAAAAAGAUAAAUAAAUAAAGAACGUGGCCUUUAGUAACAAACAGACUUGGAUUAAAUCCUGGACGCACAACUUUACAUGCUGUUUAAUCAUUGACAAAAUACAUAAAAUUGUGGCACUGCUCUAAAGGAAAAAAAAAGUGUGUAUCUUCAGAAUGAAGAUAAUCCUACCUUGCACUUUGAAGUGAAGAAGGUUUAUGCUUUGAAUCCUUUCUUACUUUUUAGUGUUUAUACAGAAGUAUUCUUUCUUAAUGGUAUUUCUGUCACUUCCGUUACCUUUCAGUGGGAAUGGAAGUAGAAAAAUGACCUAAGUUUGUAAUCUUGAUCCAGCUCCUCUGUCAGAUAUUAAUUUUGUAUGCAGGAAAACAAUAAACUCUAAAAAUAUUCCAAUGAUUAAAAAUAAAUUAAAAAGUUAGUGUUUGCUUAUGUGAAGAAACCAGCUAAGUGGAACACCUCAUUUCCCAUUGAUAAUCAAUAUAAUUAGGCAUUUCUGUGCCAUGUAAAAAAAUAAAAAUAAAUGAAAAAAAUAAAAAUAAAAAGCUUACUGUAGGAAAUUCUUUGAGAGUUAAAUGUAAAUUUUUAAUUUUCUGUAAUUUUUUCCUACAUUUUUUUGCUGCUCCAAAAAGAAAAAUGUGGUGUUCUACAAGAUUUGUAGUAAAAUAUUAAGUAUGUGUAUCUCUUCCAUGGGUAUUAAGGUCAAUCUUUAAGUUGAAUAUCCAAUAUUUAUUGGGCUUCAGUUGACAAGACAGUAAAUAACAGAACAUAAGUUCUAACUCACUAUUUGAAAUCCAUUCCAAACUUUGAGAACUAUAGUGCUAAAAUGAUUUGCAAACCUUUGGCAAAUAGGAUUAAAGUAUAAGCCAUAUUAAAGCAUUUGAUGUGCACUGUAGCUAAGCAUGUCAUAUCUUUCGAUAAUGUUGCAUCCUCUGUAUCCCAUUAAUGAAAACGCCUAUCAGGUAUUACUGUCCAGCCCCGAUGUACGAAGAUAGCUAAGGAUAAAUGCACAUUUACCUGUUACUUGCCUACAGUAUAUUCACAAUUUGUUUUAUGUAUGUAUAUACAUCUCCUUGCCUCUUUCACCUUUCAUUACAAUAACUAAAACAUAAUAUAGCAAAUAUUGUCUUCUUGUACUAAAUCCUGCUUCCCCUGCCACCCCUGACAAAUGUCCUAUGCUCUGUAUUUUGGGGUUGGAAGACUAGAAAGACAUUUGUUGGACUCCUCUAUCAGAUGGAUUCUGGGGUUGGGUCCUACCAAAAGAAGUACCAGAUAAAGGGAAAAUGUGGGCUCCAAUAGCAUCUGGGGGUUAGUGUAAGGAAUUAAUUCUACUUUCUCACUUUUCUUUUUCUAGCCCUGGGAGGAGGGGGAUAGCAGCUUUCUCUACUUUCUGAUCUCAGAGUAUUACCACCAUUUUCUGUAUUUCCCUAUAACCCUUUCCAACAAUUUGUAAAUAUAUUUCUAUACUAAAUUUUCUUCUGUUUGAAAUUCUGAGAGUGGUUUCUAUCUUCCUUACUGGACCUUGGCUGAUGCAUAUACUAUAUACACAAGUUAUAUCAAUUGAAUGAGGACAUGAACUAGGACCAAGUUGUCAAACUCUGCAAUGAAAUCUUAGGGGAACAGAUUAAUGCUUUAUCAACAGCAUUCAUCCCAACUAUCUUCUUGAAGAAUAACUUUAUUUCUUAGUUGUAGAUCUCAGUUCUAGAGACCUGGUAGUGUAGGAGAGAGACACCCCUCUUUAUGCUCACGGCCUAAUUACACCUCCUCUGACUGAUUGCUAGAGCAUGUCAGCUCUCAAAGAUUGACUUUUGUCACUUUCUGGAGAUUGCUUACUUCUGUGCCCAUAUCCAGUGUGGUCUUCACAUGGGUCUCAUAUUAUCAAAAAGCUUGAAGGAUGUGGACAAAAGUGAUGUGCCCUUUGAGGUAGUAUCUUUGCUAAAAGCAGGGUUGGUUUCAGAUAAGAUGCCAUAUUUUUCAUGUGUAGCAUUGCCUGCAUGAUCCACUUGUCAUAUUACUUCUUCUAGUAUGUGUCAUAUUAUGUUAGGUCAUGCCAUCAGAGUUAACAAUGGGACAUGCUAUUGCCAGAGCAGCAGCAUAUAGAUUGCCACAGAUUCAAAAGCCUUUGGUCUUUACACACUUCUGGGAGAUACAUGAGCUGGAUCUUGUACCAUUAAGUUCUGUGGCCACCAUACAAGAUAUAUCAUAUUUUUUCCAAGAGAAAAAUAGUCAGUAGGCUUGAAGAAAUCAUGAGGUAACAUUCUGGAGAAAACAAUCCCACCAAUACUGAAUUUUGAACUCCAGUGCCUUGGCAAGCCAGUGCCUCUUUACAUUCAGCUCUUGACUUCCAGCAAUGGCAGUCAUUUUGGAUAAAUUGUGCCUUGACACUUCAGCACCAGCCAAAUUCACAGGAGCAUCUUUACAGAUUUCAAAAAGCUCACAUUUAGAAAGAUAAGACAGUCUGGGUCUUGCCACUUUGAUUCAUAUUUAGAACCAGUACAGAUUUCUCUUUCAGUUGCCUAUGGAAGACACAUUCCCCAAAUCGAUGUCUGAAAUUGCUAAAUAAAUUUCAAAGAAUAGAUUUUUUUCCUGACCUCAUUUGAAUGUCUAGACAUUUGUGGAUUAUUGAAUCUAAACCAUCUGAAACAUCAAGACAAUGUUCCCGAAACCAAAUUUAACCUGUAGAUUAAGAAUGCAAUCAAGAAUUGUAAAAUCAGAGCUUCAGUGCCAGGUCUGUCGGGGGCGAACUGAGAAGUGGAAGAAAAGAAACAAUCACUUAAAAACCUUCCAGCUAAAUGCAGAAACAGGGGACACAAUCAGAGAACAAUGUAUUUGUGCAGAUAUUGGGGCAAGAAGGGUGGGGGUAGGGAUCAGAGAAAGUUAAUGUAGCUGGGAAAACUGCUAAUUACACUUAUUCUCAGAUAAUACACAUUUACCUGGAAGCAUGGUUCAUGUUCACAAGGUGCUUGUCAGCUUUCCUUUAUUUGAAAUUCAAACUAUUUUAAGGCUAUUUUAUUCUAUUAACAAUUGCUAUUAGAUGACAUUUUGAAGAAGAAAUAUCUGACCUUAGCCCAUAGGAGGAGGCUGUAUCAACAUAGCUGGCACUAGAGAAAGAUCUUCCUUCCCCCUUUUCUCCUUACAAGGAGCAAAUUGCUACAGGGACAUCUAAUGUCAGGGACGCCUUGAAUCGGUGAGCUUCCCAGCCAUUUGGAAAACUUCAGGAAAUACUUCCUGUUUUCCACAAGUAUCUCUGGUCAUGGGCAGGGGUUGGGGGGGGUGCUAUUUCCCUUCUAGCCCAUAUUUAACUAUCAUAUUUGAGCAUAUGAUUGCAGCUCCUCUGAAAAGACUUAGAAUGAGCUGCCAGGCUGCAAGGGAUUGAAUCGAAAGCCCCCUAACAGUUAAAGUGUCCAUUAGCUCCUCUACACUUAGCAUCCGUCAGAGACAAGAAGGGCUGGGAGCCCCGGGCGAAUUUCUAACUAGCCUAAUGAGGACAGAGAUUCUGGGAGCAGAAAAAGUUCAUUUGCUGAAUUUCCAGCAAGAAGUCACUUCAAUGUUGCUUCUAGGAAACACUGACAGGCUUUGUUGGUAAGAAAUCAUUAUGCUGAGAGAGAAAUGGGAUAUUGUUAUAUGAGGUUUUUAAAGAAAAUUCAUUUUGAUAGAUGUCUAACUGUGCAUUCAAUUAAAUUUCCUUCUCUUUCUUAAAAAAUAGAUGUCAGGUAAUUGUACUCAAGUUCUGUAAGCUGAAAAGUGUUAUCCUUUCCUUCCAGUUAUUAAAAUUUCUUUAUCAAUAUGUGUCUUUCUUGUCUUUAUCCUUUGAGUAUGGGGGUGGGGGGGCUCAAUGAAAAUACAUGGAGUUCUCCCCUCCUCUCCUGUGGAUAUGUGUGUGUCUUCCAGAAGGAUUAGUAAGGACUGCUUUUGUGUGUGUGUGUGUGUGUGUGUGUGUGUGUGUGUGUGUGUGAAAACUGACUUCUAUACGGAAAUUAUGUAGGUUCUGUGCCCCUGUAAAUUCUUCUUAAAAGUCAAUGGGAAUACAUAACCGAUUGCUAGACAUAAAGUCUGUUUAGUUACAUAAUCACAAAUCAUCUUUGUUUAUUGUGAUGACCCACUAUUUCCUAACUAUAUAUCCUGCCAUUUUGUGAUAGUCUUUUUGAAGCUUCCUUUUUAUUUUUUUUCAAUUUUUUUAAAAAUUUUUUUUAGUAUUUAUUUAUAUUUGAGAGAAAGAGACAGAGCGUGAGUGGGGAAGGGGUUAGACAGGGCAGGAGAUACAGAAACCGAAGCAAGCUCCAGGCUCCAAGCUGUCAGCACAGAGCCCAAAUGCUGGGGCUCAAACCCAUCAACUGUGAGAUCAUGACUUGAGCCGAAGUCGGAUGCUUAACUGACUGAGCCACCCAGGUGCCCCUAUCCUCUUGAAGCUUUUGAUAAUGAUAAACCAACUACCAUUCAAAGCACUUACCCAUUUCAAUCCAUCCUCUCUCACUCUCACCAAAUUGAUCAUUCUAAAAUAUGGCUUUACAAAUAAUACACUCCUACUUCUAAAACUUCUAGCCCUCCAUGUGGCUAUGCAUCCAUCAUUCAACUAGCUUCUCCUCCUGCUUAUCUACUUUCCAAUAAUGGCCCUCUCUUAUUCCUAAACAACCAAUUCCUGGAGUCAUAUUCAUUUACCCAUCAAUUUUUCUUUACAUUCAUUACAGCCACUCACUCUACUCUAAAUCUAUAUGCCAAGUCACACAGAAUUCUACCUUCAUAAUAUUCAUCUCAUUUACCCACUCCUCUCCCUACCCACUGCCAUCUAAUUAAUUAGGCUUUUAUUAUAUUUUGCUUUGGCAUUUUUAAUAGCUCAUUAAUUGGUUUCUCUAACACCUACUUGCCUUAUUCUAGAUAAUUCACAUAUGACAGCCAUACUAAUUUGGUGAAGAUAAACUUCAACCACAUAACUAUCUCCAGCAAAACCUCUAUGACUCCCCCAGUAUGUCUAUUGGAUUUUACACACAUCUUAACAUUUAAAACUGUGCAAAAUGUGGUUGGCACCUACAUUAAAGAAUUUACUUCAUUUUUUUUUUUCAUCAAUAUACGGUUAAGUUCCCACAAAAUGUAAUUACACACGUCCCUAUCAUGGUUCACAGUAUUUUAUCUUUGUAUCUCCACUCAUAUUCUCUGCAAGUGAAAUGUCUUCUCUACUCUGUCUCCCAUGAAAAUCUUAAUCUGUAUUUAGAUUUCUUUUCAAAUUCUAACUACUUUGUGAAGUCUUUCCUGAUAUACAAUCCAAGCAUGAUUUCUCACUUUUCUGAGAAAUAGUGCUUAAUAAUACUUUGUUGGCAUGUCAAGUAGAGGAAAAUGAAGAGGAAUAGUAGGUCUUGGUUUCCAUUACAGUGAGAUUUCCAAACUUGUUCUUUCCAAUUCUUGCCCUCUAUGAACAAAAGGUCUUUAGAGUAAUAAUGGACAGAAAAAGCAUUCCAGAAUGUCUCAACCCAUGGGAAUGAGAUUUCAAAAUGACUGAGAACAUUGGAGAGAAAAUCAAGUUGGUUAUCAGAUCAGGCUGACCCAGCCCAUGUCUUUCCCAACUUUCAGUUUGUGAAAUCCUGGGCAAUUUGGACCUUUGAUUUAUGAAAGCAAUGGCACUAGGGUUAAAUGUUGCAGGCAGGCUGUUUCUGGAGUAAAAUUAAUUUCUAAUUCCCCCAUAUAAAAAAAAUAAUAGCCCACCUACUAAGUAUACUUUUAUUUUUGUUUUCUUAUUUGCCCAAGCCUCUUUUAAAGAUUUACAGGCAAGCAGAAAACAAGGGCUGUGAUGGACUCAUCUUGAUGUCCUAAGUGUUUACAAAGAGAUGAGAGAGGUAUUUGAUACACAUUUACUGAAUUGGAGUCUGCCUUAUCAGGUACCUGACUCUAAGCCCUACUAGCUGUUAGGUACUUUACAAUGCACUAUAUCUGUAAUAGAUACUGUAGCAUCCCCCCCUUAUUUUUUUUACCAUAUAUGCAUACAUUUCAACAAAAUAUUAAUUCCUCAAGCUCAAGAUGUGGAAUUUAUUCUUAUACUGUUACUGUAGCAUACAUCUCUGAGUACAUGCCAUAUGCCUAGCACAAAACAGAGAUAGACAGAUUCAAGAAAGUUUAAUUCAUUUUUGGAUAUAUAUGAAACUAUUACUAUAUUUUUAUAUCUAUUUUCAUAAUAACAGAUUAAACAGAGAAAAAGAACAACAAUCAAAGAGUUGCCACAAUGCAAGAGAUUGCUUUUGGAACUUCCAAAUGGCUCCUUCCUGUAGGACAGUGAGGGAGAAUGAACCCCCAAUCCCAACUGGCACGCACACUGAAGCUUGACAGGUUGUGAACUCCGAAAGCCUUCAGUGGCCAUUGCACUGCAAGUCUCCAUAUUCUAACAAACGAGGCCUAUGCAAUCAUGUUGUGGAAGGAAGCAGCCAUUUCAACACGGGCUAGAACAAGGUUUCCAGCACAGAAAAGAAUAAUAAGAUGGUCCUCCUAAGAAUCCAUUUUGUGAAAUGACUUCAAUUCAAAAAUUCAACUUAUUUCCUGCCUUCAGACAGAGAGCAUCUUCUCUCGUGCGGAGGAUUUAACACACGAUGGUGAACAAGAACAUCAGCUUCUGGCCAAAAUGAAUGUGGCUGGAAAGCUGUGUUGAAAUCAAUCACAGGCACAGCUGGGACUCCUUGGAGCUGUCAGGAAAUGGAAUGGAGUCAGUGUUGCUUUGGAGAGCCUCUGACCUGGAGGCCAGGGCCCAUCAGCAUGAGUCUGUUAGUGCUAACCUGCAGCCGAGUGGUUUGAACCCCAGUCACUUCAGCACUCCUGGAGAAGGUCUUGAUCACUAUCACUGGACAUCAGGGAGCUGCAAGGCUACUCUGGCAAGUGAUCCAGUGUAAAACACACACAUAAAUGUCUAUCAACCUUUCCCACUUGGUCAAGUUUGCAUCAGCCUAUUACAAGGAGAAAUGCAUGAGACUGGACAGGAGGGAGACUCUCUGCCCACCCCUUCAUAUUGGACAGUCUCUUUAACUGAUUUUGUCAGUUUAGCCAACACUUUGGCCUGCCAUGGAGCAUGGCACAAAUGGUGCAGGGGGAUUAUGUGAGCACAGACAGCAGAAAAAUAUCCAAGUCUAUGGCUUUAGUUUUUUUUUCUUCAGAUAACUGGAUUCAAAAUAAAACAUACAAAUUUCCAGUGCUCUUUUACCAUAAGACACUGAAGAGUCUAGAGGUAGGUGAAAGUCCAAGUCAAGAUCUAUAGACCAUGUUGCAGCUCUGAGUUAUUUCUUCCUGAAGGCUAAUGAGAUGUUUUCACAGAGAUAUUUUAUCUCCAUCUUUUCUUUCCAAGUUUCCCAGGAACUAACCAACCUAACUCUAGUUUCUGUUUCCACUUGCUUUUUCACCCUGGCAAUCUUAAUUCUGGGUCUCUGGAAAAUACUAAAGACACACAUCUAUUCAUUCAUCAAAUAUACUUAGAAGCAGCUGGUACAGAAUGUUUAAGCUAGUGAGGAAGAUAGUAAUAAGCUGAUACUUGUUUCUUCCCUUUGACUUCUUUAUUUUUAUGUUUAUUUAUUUUUGAGAAACAGAGAGCACAUGUGCCUGUGUUGUGGGGAGGGGCAGAGAGAGAGAGGGAGACAGAGAAUCCCAAGCAGGCUGAACACAGAGCUGGAACACACAAACCAGGAGAUCAUGGUCUGAGCAGAAAUCAAGAGUUAGAUGAUACACUGACUGAACCAGCUACCCUUAAACUUCUAAGCAGAGACAAAUGCUUUCAUUUUUUAACAUGUUUUCAUGUGUGACUUUGGAGUUAAAUGGGAUUAGUUAAUAUCAUAGCAAAUAUAUGGGAAUUAGUUACCUCCAAUUCUGAAUAGCCACUUAUCACAGCCAAGAACUCUCGUAUUGAGGAAGCAAGGGAAAUAAAUACUCCAACCUCUUUUUCCUUUCCAAUUUCCUGUUGAUUCCACCUAAUGGUGAAACUAAACUAAACUAAACUAAACUAAACUAAACUAAACUAAACUAAACUAAAGCAAGAAAGCCAUGGGGCUUGUUUGAAGCAUUCCGUAGGCAUCAGCCUCCUGGAGUUCAGAGGACAGAAAAGAGGGAGGCAAGGUUAAAUGACAAUAUACAGUACACAUAUUGCAAAGUGUUUGGAAGGCUUGAUUAAACUUCUAUGAUCAAGUGUCUCAAAUUCCAAUCCUUGAACUUUUUUUGUAUGCUCACUCCCUAGAUGAUUUCAUCCAAUCCUUGUCUUCAAAUACCAUGUAUAUUCUGAUGACUCUCAAAUUUCCCCCUACCUUUUCCCAAGUUCCAUCUGUGAACCUGACAUCCACAUGAGGAUGUUUCAAAUUCCACCCCUCCCCCCCCACAGAAAUCUACUCUAUGCAUCCCUGCUGCAUCCUUCCAUGUUCCCCAAAUCACUAAGGGAUAACAUCAUUGCCCUGGUUGCUCAGGUCAUAUAUAGCGAGCCAUCCUUAAAUGACUUUUUUUUCUCGCACUCCUCAUUUCCAACACUACAUUCAAAAUGUAGCCUAAAUUUAUCUAAAUCUUCCUUCCUGUACAAUGACUGAGUUUAAGAUUACAUCCUGGCAAAUGCCACCAAAGUUCUCUUUCUGCUCCAUUUUUCUUCCUUCCCAUGGCCAGUAUAGUCAUUUCUUCAUGGAAACCUAACUACUGUCUUCUAAAAGACCCUCGUGGCUUCCAGUAAUACUCCGAAUAAAUGAUAAACUCCUGACCCUGGACCUCCAAAGACCCACCUGAUUUAGACCUUUUCUAUGUCUUAGACUUCAUAUUCUUUACUCUUCAUUUAUUCUCUUUAAACCCCACUGGCUUUCUUGCUGUUUCUCAAAACAUCAGGGUUAUUCCAGUUUGGGGGCAUUUUCACUAGCUCUUUCUUUUGUCUACUAUGCUUUGUCUCCACAUUCCAUAUAGUUCCUUCUACCUCUCAAUUCAUUUCUCUUCCCAUAUGUUACCUCUGGGUCUCUCCUAACCUCCUCAAUCUAAAAUAACCUUUCUUCAUUAAUUUUCCUUAUAGAAUGUAUUACCAUUUGAAGUUAUUCUAAAUCAUAUCAUAUUAUAUUUAUA